rnacentral:rRNA from 1 species
CAGUCGCCGCGGUAAUACGUAGGGUGCGAGCGUUAAUCGGAAUUACUGGGCGUAAAGCGUGCGCAGGCGGUUGUGUAAGACAGGUGUGAAAUCCCCGGGCUUAACCUGGGAACUGCGCUUGUGACUGCACAGCUAGAGUAUGGCAGAGGGGGGUGGAAUUCCACGUGUAGCAGUAAAAUGCGUAGAUCUCGAGAGGAACACCAAUGGCGAAGGCAGCUUCUUGGUCCAUUCCUGACGUUCAUACACGAAAGCGUGGGGAGCAAACAGGAUUAGAUACCCCUGUAGUCCCUGUCUCUUAUAC